GCCUAACACAUGCAAGUCGAGCGCGCCUUUCGGGGUGAGCGGCGGACGGGUUAGUAACGCGUGGGAAUAUGCCCUUUGGUACGGAAUAGCCUCUGGAAACGGAGAGUAAUACCGUAUGAGCCCUUCGGGGGAAAGAUUUAUCGCCAAAGGAUUAGCCCGCGUUAGAUUAGGUAGUUGGUGGGGUAAUGGCCUACCAAGCCUACGAUCUAUAGCUGGUUUUAGAGGAUGAUCAGCAACACUGGGACUGAGACACGGCCCAGACUCCUACGGGAGGCAGCAGUGGGGAAUCUUGGACAAUGGGGGCAACCCUGAUCCAGCCAUGCCGCGUGAGUGAUGAAGGCCUUAGGGUCGUAAAGCUCUUUCGCCUGUGAAGAUAAUGACGGUAGCAGGUAAAGAAACCCCGGCUAACUCCGUGCCAGCAGCCGCGGUAAUACGGAGGGGGUUAGCGUUGUUCGGAAUUACUGGGCGUAAAGCGCACGUAGGCGGACUGGAAAGUUGGGGGUGAAAUCCCGGGGCUCAACCCCGGAACUGCCUCCAAAACUAUCAGUCUAGAGUUCGAGAGAGGUGAGUGGAAUUCCGAGUGUAGAGGUGAAAUUCGUAGAUAUUCGGAGGAACACCAGUGGCGAAGGCGGCUCACUGGCUCGAUACUGACGCUGAGGUGCGAAAGUGUGGGGAGCAAACAGGAUUAGAUACCCUGGUAGUCCACACCGUAAACGAUGAAUGCCAGUCGUCGGGUAGCAUGCUAUUCGGUGACACACCUAACGGAUUAAGCAUUCCGCCUGGGGAGUACGGUCGCAAGAUUAAA
rnacentral:rRNA from 1 species